rnacentral:misc_RNA from 1 species
GUGCAAGUUAUUUAGCUUCAACCUGUAAAUUCAAGAGAGUCGUUAGAGGAAUUCAUGAAGCAAAAGCAAAAAUCUAUCUGAUGAAAAAUAUAAAUAUCCUGUGAGAAGAUACGAAAGUAUCACGGGAAAAGGUCAAUAAAAAUGAGAAUCAAAAGCAAAGCAUGAGGAGGAAUUAGAGUUUUAUUUGGUAAGGAACCAGCAGACAUGGAAAGAUUACACGGAGAGAUUGAUUAAAUUUUGGGGUUCG